GCAAGUCGAGCGGAAACGAAGAGGAGCUUGCUCCUUUGGCGUCGAGCGGCGGACGGGUGAGUAAUGCUUGGGAAUGUGCCUUAUGGUGGGGGACAACAGUUGGAAACGACUGCUAAUGCCGCAUAAUGUCUUCGGACCAAAGUGGGGGACCUUCGGGCCUCACGCCAUAAGAUCAGCCCAAGUGGGAUUAGCUAGUUGGUAAGGUAAUGGCUUACCAAGGCGACGAUCCCUAGCUGGUUUGAGAGGAUGAUCAGCCACACUGGGACUGAGACACGGCCCAGACUCCUACGGGAGGCAGCAGUGGGGAAUAUUGCACAAUGGGCGCAAGCCUGAUGCAGCCAUGCCGCGUGUGUGAAGAAGGCCUUCGGGUUGUAAAGCACUUUCAGUAAGGAGGAAAGGUUAAGUGUUAAUAGCACUUAGCUGUGACGUUACUUACAGAAGAAGCACCGGCUAACUCCGUGCCAGCAGCCGCGGUAAUACGGAGGGUGCGAGCGUUAAUCGGAAUUACUGGGCGUAAAGCGUACGCAGGCGGUUUGUUAAGCGAGAUGUGAAAGCCCCGGGCUCAACCUGGGAACUGCAUUUCGAACUGGCAAACUAAAGUGUGAUA
rnacentral:rRNA from 1 species